rnacentral:rRNA from 1 species
AUGGAUGGCCGCCAUCUGCUGGGUGCCGCAGGAGCUGCGAGAGCGAACCAGAACAAUGCCAAGAUCGUCAAGAUGGCGGUGCCCGUGCUGGCCAUGCUGCUGCUGCUGGGCACGGCGGCGGCUGUCUCCAUGACGGCCGACGACCGGGCCUGCCUCCGCGCCAUCUUCGGCAGCCACAUGUUCCUGAUGUUCUGCGUGCUCGUGAACACCGCGUCCGGCUGUGCCCUGGCGUGGAUGGCUGUCACGGCGCCGACGCAGGCUGCCCGGCGCUCGUACGCGGAGUCCACCGUCGCGUCCUUCGUGCUUCUUGCCGUCAAUCUGCACUCAGCCUUGUCCAACCUCCCGGAUGUCAACGAUGCUGCCUAG